AUUAAUGAAAUGUUUGUCGAGAAGGGUUGUAGCUGGCCUCCAGGGGCAUGUGCACACCCUGAUC
rnacentral:rRNA from 1 species